AGCUCCAAUAGCGUAUACUAAUGUUGUUGCAGUUAAAAAGCUCGUAGUUGAAUUUCUGGGUAGCCUUCUUCGUCUGCCGGAAACGGUGUGCACGUCGCAAGACUAUUCAUCCUUCAGAAGAACCUAUGUGGCAUUCACUUGUCAUGUAGGGGAUCUGAUACUUUACCUUGAAAAAAUUAGAGUGUUUCAGGCAGGCAAUCGCCGGAAUACAUUAGCAUGGAAUAAUUGAAUAGGACUGCGGUUCUAUUUGUUGGUUUUGUGGACCGAAGUAAUGAUUAAUAGGGAUAGUUGGGGGCAUUCGUAUUUAAUUGUCAGAGGUGAAAUUCAUGGAUUUGUUAAAGACGAACUUAUGCGAAAGCAUUUGCCAAGGAUGUUUUCAUUAAUCAAGAACGAAAGUACG
rnacentral:rRNA from 1 species